UACAGAGGGGGCAAGCGUUGUUCGGAAUUACUGGGCGUAAAGGGCGCGUAGGCGGUCCCAUAAGUUCCGCGUGAAAUCCCCCGGCUCAACCGGGGAAUGGCGCGGAAAACUGCGGGGCUUGAGUUCGGGAGAGGGAAGCGGAAUUCCGGGUGUAGCGGUGAAAUGCGUAGAUAUCCGGAGGAACACCGGUGGCGAAGGCGGCUUCCUGGACCGACACUGACGCUGAGGCGCGAAAGCUAGGGGAGCAAACGGG
rnacentral:rRNA from 1 species